UACGUAGGGACCAAGCGUUGUUCGGAUUUACUGGGCGUAAAGGGCGCGUAGGCGGCAAUUCAAGUCAUCUGUGAAAUCUCCGGGCUUAACUCGGAACGGUCAGAUGAUACUGCUUUGCUCGAGUGCGGAAGGGGCAAUCGGAAUUCUUGGUGUAGCGGUGAAAUGCGUAGAUAUCAAGAGGAACACCUGAGGUGAAGACGGGUUGCUGGGCCGACACUGACGCUGAGGAGCGAAAGCGUGGGGAGCGAACAGG
rnacentral:rRNA from 1 species